rnacentral:rRNA from 1 species
ACGAACGCUGGCGGCAUGGAUUAGGCAUGCAAGUCGAACGCCUGUAGCAAUACAGGAGUGGCGAAAGGGUGAGGAAUAAGUGAGUAAACUGCCUUCUAGUUGGGAAUAACCUCGCGAAAGCGAGGCUAAUACCGAAUGUGACACAAUUAACGCAUGUUAGUUGUGUUAAAGAUUUAUCGCUAGAAGAUGUGCUCGCUUCCCAUUAGCUAGUUGGUGAGGUAACGGCCCACCAAGGCUAUGACGGGUAGGUGGUCUGAGAGGAUGGUCACCCACACUGGGACUGAGAUACUGCCCAGACUCCUACGGGAGGCUGCAGUCGAGAAUCUUCCGCAAUGGGCGAAAGCCUGACGGAGCAAUGCCGCGUGAAGGAUGAAGGUCUUAGGAUUGUAAACUUCUGUCACCGGGGAUGAAUUAUGACAGUACCCGGGGAGGAAGCACCGGCUAACUACGU